CUUGUUAGGAAAAAUUGUUCCAGGAACCGAGGGCAUGAGGCCCAAUCUCUAGGUUAAAUUCAUUAGGCAUAAUAUUAGAAAAAAAAUUAGUUUUUUGUCUGACACCUUUUCCAGUGGGAGAAGCUGGAUUGAAAAGUUUUCAACUUGGCUGUCUAAUCCGGCAUCAUGAAAACUGCUGCCCUCCUCAACCCAUGUACAUUUUAGUCUCCCCUAUCCUGGAUUCUGCUCAACAGAUCAGCCCUAAUCCUACACAGGCAUGGUGCAGUCUAGGAUGCUUGUGUCGCAGGGUUGAAGACAAGAAAGACAGAUGUGUGCCUGCCCCCAGUUGCGAGAGCGCAGAGGCAAUGAUGAUGGAACAGAAGGCAAGAGGCUGUCAUCGUUCACAUCACAAGGACCAGAGACACCCUUCCUGGGAAGAGAGCUGACAAACCUUCUGUGGUAAGGGGUGAACAUCCUUGGGAAGCCACAGAGAGCAAGGCGCAGUUUUUCAUUGAUCACCACCAUCAAGAUGCUCCCAGAAUCGUGCUGUCUAGGAAACCAUUUAAACCGGUGAGAAGCCAUCCUCUCUUGAAUGGGGGCUCCCACUGUACAUCUGGCACCCACUUCACAGGUGGGAUGGCGAAACAUGCUGACUGGUCUGGGCCAGUCAAGAAUAACAGAAGAAAUGAGGAAGGCAUAUCAUGACUGCUUCCUCACUCAACGCAACUUCACUGAGCUCCGGCUGCACACCCACUGCCAUGCUAGACACUGGGGUACUGAAAUUCAGAGCCAUAUUGCCCACCCUCAAGAGCUGGAGGGAAAGUGA
rnacentral:lncRNA from 1 species